rnacentral:pre_miRNA from 1 species
AGCACAACUGCUGGAUUGUAUGGUAAGAUAUGUUUCAUUUUAUAAGAAACUUCCGAACUGUUUUCCAAAGUGGCUGUACCACUUUUCAUGUCCACCAGCAAU